CUGCUGAGGGUAGCCCUACUUCGCCUCGAUUU
rnacentral:rRNA from 1 species